UUUGUUGAUGCAAUACAUAGUCUGUGAAAUUCGGGAUUGGCGGUGGAGUUGGAAAAAUAAAUAAAUGCUAUUUUCAAAAUUUGUCACACUGGGACACGUCAACCAAUCAACGGACCCCAUGUGGACACAUGUGGUCAAAAGAUUUAGCGGCAAAAGGGUGACCACCCAUUAACGGCAGCCUCAUAACUCGUGUUCCAGGAAAACCGGCGAGACUGUCACAUAAAGAGUCCCGUCAUGUGGUCCCACCCCGGACUGUAAUGGCUGCUGAGUGACAUUUAAAUAAAGGGUCAUCUGGCUGGACGGCUAAUGGAGGUCAACGGAGACUCAACCCCCACCAAAGGGAUGAGGC